rnacentral:rRNA from 1 species
GCCUACGGGACGCAGCAGUGGGGAAUCUUGCACAAUGGGCGAAAGCCUGAUGCAGCGACGCCGCGUGGAGGAUGAAGGCCUUCGGGUUGUAAACUCCUUUUCUUGGGAAAGAUGAUGACGGUACCCAAGGAAUAAGCCACGGCUAACUCUGUGCCAGCAGCCGCGGUAAGACAGAGGUGGCAAGCGUUGUUCGGAAUUACUGGGCUUAAAGGGCGAGUAGGCGGUGGAGCAAGUCUGAGGUGGAAUCCUAUGGCUUAACCAUAGAACUGCCUUAGAAACUGCUUUACUUGAGUCAGUGAGGGGAGGGCGGAAUUCCUGGUGUAGCGGUGAAAUGCGUAGAUAUCAGGAGGAAGGCCUGUGGCGAAAGCGGCCCUCUGGCACUGUACUGACGCUGAGGCGCGAAAGCGUGGGGAGCAAACAGGAUUAGAUACCCUGGUAGC